GGGAGGUGGGGGCUCCGGUGCGCGAGCCCCGGAGCAGCCCCGACCCCAGCAUCCUCUGCCCCCGCGCGCGCCGCGCCCCGCGCCCCCAGCUCGCGGCCCCAGAUGGAUCAUUCCCCCCCAAAUAAGUAAACAAAUCCAGCCGCGGCCAGCACCCGGGGAGGCGAGCGUGGCGCAUACCUGAAGGUUGGUCUGUGAUUCACGGCAGAAUGGAUCACCACGAAAACACUCCUAGGAAACUCAAAUUGGUCAUAGUUCCAUGAAUGUCCCCUUAUGCACAGAACGUGGGGUGUAUAUGGGGUGGCAGUGCCACAGAGCGGCUGACAACAUGGACUGGAGCCAUUGCCCGGCUUGUGAUCACAGCAUCAGUACUUAGUAGUUAUGGGAUGUUGGACUCACAGAACAUACAACUCCAAGAGUGAAUCCUCACACAAACUAUGGAUGUCAAGUGACCAACCUGUGUCAGUGUAGGCUCACCCACAGGAACCAAAGUGCCACUGCGGUGGUGAACACUGAUUAGGAGCA